CUCGUCUUUGGACUGAAAGUUUACAGCUCUGCAGUCGACUACAGGCGACACAUCCGCAGCAGAACGAUGGCUACUGUCUCCGUCGAAUAUUGUAGAGGAUGAGGUUAUUCCUUCCGCUACCAGGAACUAGCCGAUGCCCUUCGGCAGGUUCCCGGUGUGCAGGAAGUGAAUGGACGUGUAGGGAGGUCAAACAGCUUUGAGGUGUCAGUGGAUGGUAAACUGAUCUACUCCAAGCUUAAAACGGGAAAGAUGCCUACUACUACUGAGGUGGUGGACUUGGUGAAGAAGGCCAUAGCCAAAAAUGGAUAAAGCGAGUGACAAUACACAAGAAGAUGAGAGCAUCUCUGAAGGGCCAGGCACUAAUCUGCACUUCUGUUUAUGAAUGUACACAUGAAAAAUCAUGCCGUGUGUACAUGAUGCAAGUCCAGAAGCUUUUCAGCUGCCUGGCGCCUGAGGAACUGCUCUCCUACAACUAUACUCAGAAAUCAUUUACAUCUACUUACUCAGGAAUGGGAAACUCUUUUAACUUUUAACUCUUUAUCAAGCCACGUAUAUAUGUUUUCAUAUUAGAGAUAGCCAAAUAAGAAGAUCGGUCCCACUCUUAUGUUUGUAUGUGAAUAUGAAGCUACCGCCAGCGAGUGGUUAGCUUAGCUUAGCAUAAAG